rnacentral:rRNA from 1 species
GAGUUUGAUUAUGGCUCAGGAUGAACGCUAGCGGCAGGCCUAACACAUGCAAGUCGAGGGGUAGAGUGUUUCGGCACUUGAGACCGGCGUACGGGUGCGUAACGCGUGUACAAUCUACCUUUUGCUAAGGGAUAGCCCGAAGAAAUUUGGAUUAAUACCUUAUAGUAUUAUUUGGUGGCAUCAUUGAAUAAUUAAAGCUACGGUGGCAAAAGAUGAGUACGCGUCCCAUUAGCUAGUUGGAGUGGUAAUGGCACACCAAGGCUACGAUGGGUAGGGGUUCUGAGAGGGAUGUCCCCCACACUGGUACUGAGACACGGACCAGACUCCUACGGGAGGCAGCAGUGAGGAAUAUUGGACAAUGGUCGAAAGACUGAUCCAGCCAUGCCGCGUGCAGGAUGACGGCCUUAUGGGUUGUAAACUGCUUUUGUACGGGAAGAAUAAGGUCUACGUGUAGAUUGAUGA